rnacentral:rRNA from 1 species
GGAUGAACGUUGGCGGUGUGCCUAAUACAUGCAAGUCGAACGGAGUUAAUAGCAAUAUUGACUUAGUGGCGAACGGGUGAGUAACGCGUUGGUGAUCUGCCUCGAAGUGUGGAAUAACGUUCCGAAAGGAACGCUAAUACCGCAUGUGCUCUCGAUUUUUAGAAAGUUGAGAGUAAAGGAUUUAUUCGCUUCGAGAGGAGCCUGCGUCCCAUCAGCUGGUUGGUAGGGUAACGGCCUACCAAGGCUAUGACGGGUAGGGGACCUGAGAGGGUGGCCCCCCACAAUGGAACUGAAACACGGUCCAUACACCUACGGGUGGCAGCAGUAGGGAAUAUUAGAAAUGGACGAAAGUCUGAUCUAGCAACACCGCGUGUGCGAAGAAGGCCUUCGGGUCGUAAAGCACUUUUUGGAAGGAAUAGGAAGGAAUGUACUUCCAGAAUAAGUCUCGGCUAACUACGUGCCAGCAGCCGCGGUAACACGUAGGAGGCAAACGUUAUCCGGAUUUACUGGGCGUAAAGCGCGUGUAGGUGGUUCUGUAAGUAGGGCGUGAAAGCUCCCGGCUCAACUGGGAGAGGCCGUUCUAAACUACAGAACUAGAGGAUGGUAGAGGGAGGUGGAAUUCCAGGUGUAGCGGUGGAAUGCGCAGAUAUCUGGAGGAACACCAGUGGNNNAAGGCGGCCUCCUGGACCAUUCCUGACACUCAGACGCGAAAGCUAGGGUAGCAAACGGGAUUAGAGACCCCGGUAGUCCUAGCCCUAAACGAUGUAGACUAGGCGUCGGUGGUUUAAUCACCAUCGGUGUCCAAGCUAACGCGAUAAGUCUACCGCCUGGGGACUACGGCCGCAAGGUUAAAACUCAAAGGAAUUGACGGGUCCCCGCACAAGCAGCGGAGCGUGUGGUUUAAUUCGUUGCUACACGAAGAACCUUACCUGGGUUUGACAUAGCAGUGGUAGGGAAGCGAAAGCGGACCGACCCUUCGGGGAGCUGUUACAGGUGUUGCAUGGCUGUCGUCAGCUCGUGUCGUGAGAUGUUCGGUUAAGUCCGCUAACGAGCGCAACCCGCGUUGUGUGUUACAAGUGUCACACAAUACCGCCGGUAUUAAGUCGGAGGAAGGUGCGGAUGACGUCAAGUCAGCAUGACCUUUAUAUCCAGGGCUACACACACGCUACAAUGGUCAGCACAAUAGGUUGCCAAGUCGUGAGACGGAGCCAAUCCUCCAAAGCUGGCCUCAGUUCAGAUUGUAGGCUGCAACCCGCCUGCAUGAAGUUGGAGUUGCUAGUAACCGCAGGUCAGCUAUACUGCGGUGAAUACGUUCCCGGGGAU